CACUACUCCAGGUCAUAUGCCUUCUAUAGGAAGUACUGGGCUCCUAGUGUCUUCCCUACCUGGUGUAUGUCAUCCAUACAACUGACCGUUGCCUAGCCACUGGCCCUGCAAAUAGUCCCACAAUUCAUUGCACAUAUAGCCAGACACCCUUUCAGACAGGGGCUCCAAUAUUGGUAAUCCAGUCACCCUGUGGGUUUUUUCCAGCUGUCAGACCUUGUGCUAAUCCUGUUUACUGCUUUUAAACUGAUCACUGAUGAAAGUUUGUUUUCUUGGUGUUAUUUAAGUAGGAAGACUCAGUACAAAAGACAGAGAUGGCAUCAAUCAUCUUAAGAUCUUGAUGGCUUGUGUUCACCAAGGACUGCUUGUAGAACAAGAAAUAUGCAUUUAGGCCCUGAGAAAUCACAGGUGUCAGCAGGGUUCAUCUGCAAUGUCUUUCAGUGCAAAGUUUUAAAAGGAAAUGUUGUUGAGAGUUAGUUUCUCCUUCCAGAGAAGCUUCAUGAAGAAGGUCAUCUCAGAUCUGUGUAGUGCUAUUGUUCUUCACCAGGUUCUUCAGGCUAGAAUGGGAAUUAUUUUACUCUUCAACAGUUUAAAAAUGGCAGGUCUCAUCAAGGCAGGCUAGAUCCAUGCUUUCCCACUGCCCCUGGGUACUAUCAGCGCUAGCAAAACUUGUGCUCUUGUUGAAGAGUGGGUCUAGUGAUAUAGUGGUUGAAAGCAAUAGCUGGGCUUGGUGACCAUGGAAGCUUCACUGAACCAUGACAUCGUAUGAGUGUGUCUGAGUUGGCUCUGAGAGCAAAAAUAGGGCCAGGUAUUUUCAAACUAGAAAUUCUUCAACGCAGCAUCACUGGAGUCAAAAGGAAACAGAGAUGAGUUGCUUCAAAACGGCGGUAGCCUGGCUUCUGGUGAUCAGUCCAGAUUCUAUCUGGGAGACCUAGAAAGGAUUGUGGGAAGUGAAUAAAGAAGACAGGAAGGAAUGUUGGAGAAAAGGAAAAAAAUGUGGAAAGGAAAGAGAAGGGAAAGAGAGUCUCCCUUGCUCUCUGCUCUGCAGGUGACAUCCUGCAAGGACUCCUGCUCCAUCCUCAGUCCUAGUGAUGUGACACCACUGAAUCCAGUUGAACUCCAGUGUUUGAAAACACUGCUGACAAUGAGAGCAGCAUCAGACCCACCUCAUUGUGAUCAUUCCCAGGAGAGGUUUGAGAUAUCCCAGGAAGGGAAGAUCUGCAGAGUUUCUGAUUCACCUCCUAAGGGAAGAUGAACGACUAUUCAGCACUGGACCAAGGAGCCAUCUAGCCCAGGCCUCCACAAAACACUUAAGAAAGGUGACCAUAGUAAGCAUAAAUGAUACCUCUCUCCUCAUAUUGUCUCUCCUUUCCAGCUAUGAGACCUCCUGAUCCAGACAUAGUUUCUUUGUGUAUAACAACCCACAAUAAAAUCACCCUUUUCAGUUUGUUCUGUCUCCUCUUGAAUGAAUGCAAAUUUCAGCUUUGCCAUACAGCCUAGGUAAUAUGAAAAUCAAGCUAACGCACUGUAGUUAUAUAGUUAUAGUGUAGCCAAUGUUUUUCAAUUCUCUGUGUAUCAAAUGGAUAUAUGGAUUUGUUCUUAUAAAUUAAAAGCCCUAGAAGAUCAGCCAGUUCCCUGAAAUGGGCUGCACAGUGAGUUACUCCAGCAGGGAGAAUCUUACUAAGCCUUAGAACAUCCCCCUUCCCAAGAAUGGCCCUUUCAUCCGCUGCUUGUCCGCAUAAAACAAAAACAAAAUCCAACCCAAGCAGAACUGUUCCCGUGUGCAUAUCAUCCCUGGGAGACCAGCAAAGA